GCUGGCGAAAGGAAUUAGGGUUCAUAGGUUUUGGAGAAAAUUAACAAGAACCGUAAAAAUGAAAAGAGAUAAGGUAAGAUAUGGUUUUGUAAAAAGUUAAAAAUAAGGAAUCGGUUUUCUAGUUUUGAAUUGGUUAACAAGAUUGGUUAGUUGGGUGAGUUUCUAGUUAACUAAAGAUGUGUCUUAGUUGAGGGUUAUAUUAGUAAACUUAGCAUAAGAAAGUGUGUUGUAGUAUAAUGUGUUUUUAAAAUAUCAUCCACAUUGAGGUUGGGUUGUGGUUAGAGAGGCUGUGGCUACGGGGGUGUUGUUUUUGUUACCACGUAGAUGGGUUGUGGUUAAACAGGUUGUGGUCAGAGAGGUUGUGGCUAAAGUUAUGUUGGUAGGCGAUGACGAAAUUUUUUUUAUACAUGUCGAUAUGAUCAUGGACGCUUAGCAGUGGUUACAAUAUAGAUGUGGUCAUGGACACGUAGUAGUGGUUGGUGAGUGGUGUUUUGUUGCGGGAAUCUAUCAGUUGCAAAAAACCUUUCGGAGGAGGCGGAUAUCAACUGCGUUAUCUGCAAAGUAUUAAACAAAAAGCGAAAUUUUAGGGUUUGUUGCGAGCAGACGGAAUCAAUUAGUUUAUAUGUGGGAAGAGUGAAUCAAGAAGUUUAAGAAGAGGGAUCUAACCUUCCAUUUGGAGUUUAUCUGAGAAACGAUAGAACCGCAAAAACCCAGAACUUCGAGGUCGAGACACUGAGUGCGAGAUGAUGAUAACGCGAAACACAGACCCUAAUUUGGUGAGGAGAAAAAGCAAAUCAAAGAGAUGAGGGUUGGGAAGGUGAGAUUUGGGUCGAAUUUCAGAUUGUGAUUUUUGGAUCUAGAAGAUGUCGCUGGCGAAAGGAAUUAGGGUUCAUAGGUUUUGGAGAAGAUUAACAAGAACCGUAAAAAUGGAAAGAGAUAAGGUAAGAUAUGGUUUUGUAAAAAGUUAAAAAUAAGGAAUCGGUUUUGUAGUUUUAAAUUGGUUAACAAGAUUGGUUAGUUGGGUGAGUUUUCUAGUUAACUAAAGAUGUCUCUUAGUUGAGGGUUAUAUUAGUAAACUUAGCAUAAGAAAGUGUGUUGUAGCAUAAUGUGUCCCUGAGUGAAAUUGUAAACACAAAAUGUGUCUCUGAGCGUAAAAAUUUCUUAUAUCAAUGGACGUGCAAAAAUAUCUGAAGGAAAAUAAUACAAAUUUUUUAAUUAAAUUGAUUAGUGGAACUUUGUUGGGAUGGUCUCUUUUAUUUUCUCUUCCCACCGCUAAUCGCCUCUCCUCCACAACUUUCUUCUUAAGCCUAAUUAUUUAUAAUGAUGAGUGAUGAUAUUUUAUGGUGGUCCUCCUUCCAUCAUAUCAUAAUACGACCAAGUAUUGGUCCAAAACUCGAUUUCUUUAUUUCAUGUCCAUGUUUGAACUUGUCUUUCCACUCGUCUUUAUCUUCCACUAGAUUAUGUUUUUCCCUUGGCUCAAAAUGUCCAUGGUAGCAGUUCAAAGCUUUGUUGGUUACAAAUAUAUAUUAUCUGAUAUUGUAAAUGUAACUGGUCUAGCCAAUGUUUGGGACAAGAAGUUUGAUCCACCAAGUUUUCUUUAAAAUAAGACAUGGAUAUAUACAGGAAUAACACAUUUACAUAUUGAUUACCAAAGAGAGCAGAUAUAUUAUAUAGUAUUACUUUGGCCUUUGGGUUCAAUAUUAGAGCAUCUGGCAUAAUACUGCAGAAAUAGUUAUAAAUAUAAAAAGAUGAAGAAUAUUUCAUAGAUAAACUCCUGUUUUACAUUUUAAAAAGAUGCACUGGAAGUGACAAUGGAUUAUGACCCCUUGGUUUUGGUUGGCAUAGAUUCUUUUCUUUCCUUCUUUUUUUGGAGACAAUAAUUUUUCUACUAAUAAUUUUUUUUUUUAAAGAAACUUUUCAUGAACAAGUGAAGAGAGAACAAUUGAACGCCAAAAAUGACUAGAAAAUAGAGAUACACAAAACAGAGUGUUAAUUAAUUAUAAUAUUAGACGGUAAGUCUUAGUUUAAACGUAUUUCUAUAAUUUUCCUUAAAUAAAAUACUUGGUUUAUCAAUCUUUAAAAUGGUAAAUUUGCUAGAAAAUAUAUAAGAAUCGUGUUAUAUUUUAGAAAUUUCUCUAACCCAUCGACCAUAUAUAUCAACUAGAGACUAGAGUUCUCAAUUGGAUUAUUUUUUAUAACAUAGCUAGAUUUAGCAUUAGAUUAAUAUUAAACACAAGACCAUAAGCUAUUUUGUAGGGCCAAUAUUGGUCGAAUCAGUAAUUAAAAUACGAGGCUCCUGUAUAAUAUUUGUUGAAGUUUAGGUGAACUUAAAAACAGUACUAUAAGAUUUAUUAUAGAAAUGAUUCAAAGGAAUUCAUUAGUUUACACUAAUUAAUAAAAUAAUGACAUAAAUUAAAAAGACUAGAUAUCUUAUAGUAAUAGACUGAAAAGGAUAUCUCUCUCUAGUGGAAAACAAGAAGAUGAGACCAUUCUUUUCAUAUGAGCACCACAUUCUCUCUCUCUCUUUAUACACUUGUAUAUAUAAACACGCAAACGACCUCUUCUCAUUAUCAAAUAUCAACUCAUCUUCUCCAACAAAAAUCAUAAAUACCCACAAAGAAAAGAUAAUGACAAAAGUUCAUCCAAAAUUCCAAAACACUUGCGAGGAGAGCUUGUGCGAUAGUAAAGAAGCUGUCGUUUUAACGGUGUGGAAGAAGUCCCUUCUCUUCAACUGUGAUGGCUUCACAGUUUACAACUCCAAUGGAGAACUUGUCUUUAGGGUCGACAACUACAUGAACUGUCCUAAAGAUAACAUCGUCCUUAUGGACGCUUCCGGUCUACCCCUCCUCUCCAUCCGCCGCAAGGUACUCCUCCUUUCUAUCUCUAUUUGGCUUUAUAUAUAUAUAUAUCUAAGAUCCAAAGUCCUGAACCAAAUUGGUCUUUUAUGUUUGUUAUUCAAAAGAUAACCAAAUUCUUAUGAAACAAUCUUGAUAUUCAUUUCUUGUUAAUUUAUUUGAUCAGAAGUUGAGCCUUGGAGAUUGCUGGAUGGUAUACGAUGGAGAAACACAAAGAGAUCCAAUGUUUACGGCAAAGAAAAACGUUAGUAUAAUGACAAACAAGAGGAGCUUGGUGUCAGUUAGCUCGAAGAAGACAGUACUAUACGAGAUAGAAGGAUCAUACAGCCAAAGAAGCUGCAAAAUAUUGGACGAGAGGAGGAACAAGAAGAAAACGGCGGAAAUCAAGAGGAAAGAGGCAAUGGUUGGAGGAGUUUCAUUUGGCAAAGAUGUGUUCAAACUUAUAGUUGAACCGGAGAUGGAGCCUCGUGUGGCCAUGGCAUUGACCAUCAUCCUCGACCAAAUGUAUAGAUAUUGAUUUUCUACAUUUUCAUGCUUUGUACGUGUAUACUAGUUCUCUUUUUGUCAUGUAAUUUAUGUGUGUUUUGUUACUGGUGGAGGCAGACUGGAUAUCGAAAUUUUUGAAGAUAUUCAUAGUCCACUUCACUUCAUCCGAAUCAUAAUCUUUAUGAUUUGUAUUUGUCCUGUUAUCAUUUAAAUACUUGGUGUCUGGAUAUCUGAUAAAAUAUAUAGUAUUUCCUCUGUUAAAAUAAAAAAUAAAUAAGAUAUUAAGAAAUUAAAAUGUAAUGAAAAAAAUAAAAAAAAUUAUUUUUAUUUUAAUAAUUAAAUAAUAAAUCUAGUAAUAAAAAGACUAUGAAAUAUUUUAUAGAUAAAAAUAAUUAUAUAAUUUGUAUACAUAAAUAUUAUAUAUAUAUAUAUAUAUUUACAUGUCAGACAGAUAAAAUCAAUCGUCUAAUUUUUUCAAUUAUUAUGAUAUAAUCUCAUAUAUUAAUUUAGAGUCUUAUUUUUUAUCUACUAUUAAGUAUUAACAAGUCAUAGUAGGACCACUUAAAAAAAUUAGUUAAUAUGACAUAUUUGAUUAUUUACAUUAAUAAUAAACCAAUUAUAAUUUUUUUUUUAAUUAUAACAAAUAUGUUGAGAAAGAAUCUAAGAAAAUAUUACUAAUUUUUUUUUAAUAAAAUAGCACAUUAAUUAAUUUCGUAAUUACUAAUGCAAUAUUAUUAUAAAUCAAUUUUAAUUACAAUUUUAUCCUAAAACAAUAAAAUAAAAAUAAUACAAUAUUUUUAUAAAUUUUAUAAUUAUAUUCUGUAUUAUAUAAAAUAGAAGAGAUUUAUGAAUUAAAUAUGACAAAAUUAUAUUAAAUAGGUAAAUUAACAAAAAAAAAUAUUUUUUUCAUUUAAAUAAGUUAUCACUCAUCAUUAAAAUGGGUUAAUAUUCGUAAACUAUAUAAUAUUUUUAUACAAAAAUAUAUUUAUUAACAUAAGUUAAAUUUUUAUAUCUACAACUAUAUGUUCUUUUUUUAUUUAUUUUGAAACUCUCAAUAAUAUAUUGUUUAAAAAUGUUUAUAUACAAAAAUAUAAUAGUAUAUCGUAAUCUUUAGUUCAUAUACUAUUUAAAAAGUAUGUUAUUAGAAAACUAUGAAAUUUUAAUUAUUUAUUUAAACGAUUAAUAACAAAUAAAGUUUUAAUUAUAAAUUUAUUUUUAUCUUAAUUAUAACAAAAUCUGUUGAAAAUAAUUUAUAAAAUAUUACCAAAAUUAUGAUAUUUUUAGAGAAUGAUGUACUAAUGUAGUAACAAUUUUUUUUCAAAAUUCAUGUAAUUUUUCAAACUCAAAAAUAGUUGUGUAAUUUUCUAAAGUUUUCUUGACAAAAUAUACAAUUUUUACAACCAAUAUUCAAACUGAAAAUGAUAAUAUUUCAAAUUUUACAAAAGAUAAAAUUAUAGAUAAUAAAGAAUAACUUUUUAUAAUGCACCACAAAAAAGUAAAUUAUAUAUGUUGAAAAACUAAAGUAAUCUAAUAUUUUGAAAUCUUAAUUAAAAAAUAUCUGUAUGUCCCGUGCUGGUCAAAAUCUAGUUUAUUUUUAAAAAAUGUUGCAUAUUAUAUUUGAUUUAAUACGUAAAUUAUGGACCCUUAGAUUUUUUAGAUUUAAUCAAAAUGAAACAUAUCGGAUCAAAUUUUAUAUAUUUAUCCCUCCCUAAUUCUUGUAUGUUACACAUGAACGACGGAGACAACUCUAAUUUUUCAGUUUUUUUAAUUUCUGCGUAGAUACUACAUAAAAUGCCGACACUCAAUUAUUAAUUUAAUCUUUAAGGACGGUUAACAGAAGGAGGCGGCUGAUCAGCCGGAUAUGUUAAUAAUUGUCGGUUAUGACUUAUGAGAAAAAGAUGGGUGGGGGAAUAACCAAAUUAUUACGAAACUAAUCUUGAAUUUCAAUGCUGUAUUCGAUAUCAGACAAAAAUGUCCAGGAAAUUAAGAUCAGGUGACUUUUCUACAUGUUUUCUGUUUGCAGAUGUUGAAGUGAGUUGCCUUGAAGUGUUUUGUGUGCGUUGACUAGAUAGGAAGACUUGUUAAAUGUCGAGUGAGCUAUGUGUUACCUCUACGGCUCUACCUCGUGGCUCGUGCAUGUGUUUGUUUACCUGCAUCAGUCCAGUCCAUCUAGGGGAUAAUUUUAUUGAUUUUCAAGAGAUUAGAAAGUUAUUUUCGUGGAACAAUUCAGUGAGAAGCUUUUUUCAAAAAAAAAAAAAAAACAAUUCAGUGAGAAGCUUCUAGUUAAUCAAGAGAACGAGAAUCUCUAAAUACUUGACGUGAGUAGUACAUUCUUAUUAAACCGCAUUAUAUAUUUGUGUGUUUAUGAUGUUAGCGUGGCAGUUACUGGGCUGUGCAUGUGCUGUCAGUGAAUUUGAACAGAAUCCGACAUAUUUAAGGCCCAAAUUUGGAAUUAUAUAUGAACUUUUAACUAUUAAUUUAGGGGGCUUUCUUUCUCUCAUCUGAAAUAUUAAUUCAAGUUCAUGGCUAAAACCAGAACCGAUAGUAACUUUUAGGGCCCGUUUCUGUAUUUCUUCCUUUCCAAGAAUAAAAUUUUAAGUUUAUAUUUUGGUUAGGGUCUUUUCUAUAGACCUGCACCGGGUCUGGCCAAUGGAUGAACUCGGCCUAGACUUCAAACCAGAUUCUAUCACAUACUCGAGGUUUUCUUCUUUUCACUUAUAAUUUAGGUUCGUAUUUCCACAUCGUUUAGCUUUGAUUUCUCAAUUCUCACUCUCACUGGAUGCAUGGAGAGAGACUAACUUUUAAUUUGGACGUCCCAGUACGCAGUAGGCAUCAUAACUUUUCUAUAACUUGUUGAUCUAUGUUCUUGUAUAUUAUUUAAGUUUCAUCUACAUUUUUUUGAGAAUUUAGUUAUAUCAUUUUUAGUUCCAGUAGGCAUCAUAGCACAUGCAAACUCAUUGUGGUCUUUAUUUAAAAAAUUAGUUAUGGGAGAACUACGUUGCAAUUUCCAUGGCAUCAAUGCUCACCAGAAGCCAAUGGAUACGCAGCCACCAGAUUCGACAACCUGGCUACUAACACAGUUCAUAUAACUCGAUAAAGCGAUGUAUUCAAAUGAUUAUCAAGAUCUCUAUACGAUAUACCUUCUCUCUUUAUAUAAACGAUAUACCUUCUAUCUUAAAGGUUAUAUGAAACUUUUUACACUUUUUUUUUCUUAUACUAAAGCAUAUUCUUUUAGCAGUACUGCAAGCUUAAUAAAACCUUAGAAGAGCUUCCAUAUACCUCUUGAUGUUUAGUAAACUUUCUUAUAAGACUCAGACAUAACGUCAUACUCACUCUUCAACACUAGUCCAAGAGUUUAGGUGGCUAAUUUAAAAGAUAUGGUCGGAAAUGAUUCUUAGAUUUCAUAUUUCUUUGACUUAGUCUCUGUUGGGGGAUUUUUUGCCAACUUAACUUUAUAAAGUUCUCUAAGAACAUCACAUCAAUGUCCAUGGAAUUCAAUGUUCGUUUGGUUUUUUCUUUGCCAUUUUCAUGAUUAAAAAAUUCUUUAUAUCCAACUUGGAAAUCCAAAACUAAUUUUACGUUCUGUAACUCUAAUUUUACAUUAUUUCAUAUAAAUAUUACGUUGGCUUAAUUAUUAAUAAAGUAAUAAUGCACAUAUAAUAUAUUCACAAAUAUAAAUAAAUCUAUUAAAAUUUAUAUAAAAAUAUAUGUUCAACUUAAUAUUAGUGGUCUACUGGUAACAUAAAUGGGUUGAUUUCUUUGGACCACAGAUUUAAAUCUCUUUUAAUAUAAAAUACCAUUAAAAAAUAAAUCUAAUUUUGAAUAUUGAAUCAAUUAUAAACCGAAAACAUGGAACUCCUAUAAUCCCUAUAAAGGAAAUGUAUUACAUAAAAUGUAAUUUUAUUAGUAUGAGAUCAAACUAGUAAUUAGAAUUCAUCACCCUCAUAUUGUUUAACACAUUUUCUUAGCUAAAAUUACAAUAUACUUUCUGCUGAAACUGUUCAAUUUAAUACUCCAUUUGUCACAUGCAUUGUUGAAUUUACUUAAGUAGCUAGCAAACAAAGAUGCCAGUAACAACAACUAUUUAUAUUUUUCCAAAGUUAUGACAAUUAACUCGACCGUUACAGUUCGCAAAUGCCAUUCACUUGGUUUACAAACGUGUUGAUGUCGUAUAUCUACUAUUUAUUAAUACAAACAUGUCUAUAAAAUCUUCCUUUUUAACAAUGUCCAAAUAAAAUUCAGCUUGUUAGAAUAAGUUACAUUUUCUAUGAAUCACAUAUGCACAUACAAAUAUGCAGCAUAAAUAUUAUUUCUAUAAUUUGGGCAGGGCUUGUAGCUUUACAAAAUAUUACAGUAAUGGAAUUUGAGAGAAAGUAGAAGAAAUCGACUAAAAAUAUAUACAAAUUUCGUAAAAAAAACAAAUUAUAUAAAUUUCAAUAAUAACUAUGAAUUUUGUGACAUUUUAAUUAUCAACUUUAACAUGAAACGUUUUUGACCAUGAAAUCCACAGCAGUCAAAAGAAAGGAUAAUUUAGCAUGAUUGACUACAUUAUAUAACUUAAAAAAUUUGCCAUAAAAAUAUGUAAGAUGGAAGACUCUUUCAACAUAUAUAGAGACUAGGACCAACCAAUCUCAAUGAUUUAUAUCAGCAGUUAUUGUUAAUCUAAUCAUAAAAGCAAAAGUAUAAUAAUAAUACGUAUAAGAGACAGCUCUUGUGAGCGAUAGCAUGAUCGACACGUGUCAACUUUUAGCGGCGCUAAAAAAAAUAUACGAUCUACGUAGUCACGCAUACAGACCAGAGUUCCACCGUUGUCUUUUUAAUCAUUUACUUUUUUUUUUUUUUUUAUUUUUUAACGUCUGAACAUAUUUUAUUAAUAUAUCAAAGUACAAGUAGAGUUAUAAAAUCGUUUACAAAGCAACGAAAUACAAUUUAUUACAUAAGCAGAAAUAUGCGACAUAUGCUGAAGACAAAUCAUUUGUAGAAGUGAAGAUUGACGUUGCUUUUUUGUCCAAUAAGCCUUACACGCUAACAGAACAUGUGAUCUGUUAUUUUCCUUCUCCAUAACUUGUCUCGCUCUGAUAUGAUAGGUAUGCCUUAUUGGCAUUUUAUUUGUUUUCCAUAUCAUACAGUAAAACCUCAUUGUAUUCGGGGCGUCGACACGGUACCAAUUAGUCCGUAUCCGUGUUCUUUGAAUCAAAGUAGACUCUAUAAUACUCUUCUUGCAACUCCGGUAAAUUAACCAUUUACACCAUCCACUCAUAUGCAUUGAUACUCUCCGGUGCCAUGAUGGCUUCCAAUACCCAAACAAUCGUACUAAUAUUUCAAGUGAGAAAUUAACAUCAAUACCUUCAUAUAUUUGAGACACCAUCUCUGAAAGAUUGUAAGCGCCAAACAAAUCUUGAUAGAUGUCAAACAAGCCCGUUGACAAGGACACUUGUAAUACACAUAGGUUUCUCUCUCCAAACAUAGUUUCCUCAUGCACACAAGUUCUUCUAUGUACUCUGGAGGCCGUGCCAGAUUUUGACGGUAAUAGAUGCACGAUGAAAUCAAUAUCAUAGUCUCCAGGCCAAGGUGGCCUGAGGAAUGAUUGCGUCUCUCCAUGAAUGACCAGAAGAGGAAGAAAAGCAUCGUGCAACAAGUGCUCGGGUAAGGCGCCAACGAAAUCAGUGAGAUUUCCCGGAAAUACACCAACAAAUUCAACAUGAUUUGUUGGAAGAACACGCUCCAAAAUGGAGAAAAUCAAAACUUCGAGACGUGAUUGCUCCGAAACUCUAUCCCAUAAUUUCAGAAUUGAACGAAGGGAAACCAGGCCUAUGGAAAUAACAGUCACAAGAGGCGGUGCUUGGAGUGAAGGAAGAGAAUCACGUCGUCGGAUAGAUAAAUAAAAGCGUUGAUUGGAUAUGAAUCCAAACGUGAGUAGUAUGAUACAAAUCAUUAAAUUAUUGUGGAAACAAAAGAAAAAAGAAAGAAAACCGGCGGCCGGAACCGCCGGUGGUGCUCGUAAAAGUGAAAAGGUGUGUUUUAUAUAAUCGCUCUGUAAAUCGCCUCUAGAGAGAGAGUUUUUGACACUCUUUGACUAUUAAUCAUUUACUUUUAUUGUUGAAAAAAUCACUUUAAUCUUUUUCAACCUUUGUAACAGAGAGAUCCACGCUGUCACCUAAACCUUUUUUUGUCUAAUUUUAUUUUUCCCAAAAAUAAUAAAGAGAAAUUUCAGAGAGAGAAAAAAAGGAAAAAUAAAAAUAAAUAAAAAAAGUCAGGCGUCUUUCUGCAGAAUUCACAUUUGGUCUCUCUCUCUCUCUCUCUCUCUCUCUCUCUCUCUCUCUCUGUAUUGUAUACGCUUCUAGAGGGAAGAGGAAGAAGAAGAAGAAGAAAGACUCAUGUCUGGUCUAUACAACAACAACUCUUCUUACUUCUCUCCUGCUAGAGCUGCUUCUCCUCAGAUCAGAAGCACUCCUGAGAUCGACAGGUAUAUAUGCUCUCUCUCCUCUGAUCUCUUCCUCUCGAAAAGAACACUCCUUUUGUUUGGUUUCUUAUAGCAAUAAAAACCGAUCUGAUUGUUCCUUCUUUGCUCGAACAGCUCUCAGUACUUGACGGAGCUUCUCGCAGAACAUCAAAAGCUCACACCUUUUAUGCAAGUCUUGCCCAUAUGCAGCCGCCUUUUGAAUCAAGGUUUCUCCUUUUCUUGAUUUUGAUUCGGAUCUAAACUGUAUAUUCCACCUCUUCUCUUUCCUUUUUUUAUUACAACACUUUCCCACUCCAAUUUUCUUACUUAAUGUUCAAAUCAGUUAAUCCAAUCAACACAGUGAGAUUUAAGUUGAAUGGACAGAUCAUUGUUUGGGUCUGUGAAUUCAAAUCAGUUAAUCCAGUCUUACUGAUAUGUCUUAACAUUACUUAUUUUAGUACAAGCUGUAGUGUCUUUUAGUUUCCUUGUUGUGGUUGUUGAUUUGAAAGGCUUUAUUGAUGUGCAGAGAUGUUCAGGGUAUCUGGAAUGAUGCCUCCUAACCAAGGAUUCGGCGAUUUUGAUAGACUCAGACACAGAAGUCCAAGUCCUAUGGCUUCUUCUAAUCUUAUGUCUAAUGUCUCUAACACCGGUUUAGGUGGUUGGAACGGUGGUCUCUCUCAGGAGGUAUUAUUAUCAUCUAAUCCAUUGUUUAAACUCUGUACCUAUGUUGUCUAAGAUGUGUUUGCACUGUGUGCUUCUUACAGAGACUUAGUGGAACACCUGGAAUGACAAUGGAUUGGCAAGGUGCACCUGGAAGUCCCAGCUCAUACACUGUGAAAAGGAUAUUGCGUCUGGAGAUUCCAGUAGAUAGCUAUCCUAAUGUGAGUAAACUCAUUCUGCUUCCUCAUCAUUUUACUCCAUAAGCUUUUUUUUAAUCACUCUUUUCUGUUUUUUACUUGCUAUUUUUACCAGUUCAAUUUUGUUGGAAGGCUUCUUGGUCCUAGAGGCAACUCAUUAAAACGUGUUGAAGCUACCACUGGUUGCCGUGUGUUCAUCAGAGGGAAGGGUUCAAUCAAGGAUCCAGAAAAGGUGAGAGAUGUCCAUGAAAUAUUUUUAACAAACAUGUCGUAUGCUUCAGAUGAGUAUCUUAUGUAUUUGAUGAUUAAAACAAUUAUAGGAAGAUAAGCUAAGGGGAAGACCAGGCUAUGAACAUCUAAAUGAGCAGCUUCACAUCUUGAUAGAAGCAGAUCUUCCAGCUAGUAUUGUGGAGAUUCGUCUGAGACAAGCUCAAGAAAUCAUAGAAGAGUUACUAAAGCCUGUGGUGAGUACACAUUCCCCACUACUUUCUUAACUCUUUGGAAUUUUCCAGUGUUCUAAAAAUCGGUUUAGUCGGCAAAUGGGGUCUGAAGAAACAAUUUAAUCUGAUUUUUUUUUAAGUCGGUGUUGGCGUCCCUGUUUAACUCUAUAAAACGCCUAACCACCGCCUAGUGAUUUUUUUGAACAUUGGUAUAAUCAGUACAAUGACAAUUAAGAUAGUAGCCACGUUUUUUAUUUUAUGUUCUUCCUUUGGUUGGUUAGCCUCAUUGAGAUCCUCUAGACUUAUUGCAUGUAGGGCCACUUGUUUCUUGUCACAACGUUUAUAUUUCAGUACCCACUCUUUGGUAGUUUGCGGUUGAUAUUCAACUAUGCAGACAUGUGUGACCACAAACACCAGUCAAAGCUUCAUUAUUGUUUUGUCUUUGAUCUCUUAUAACAUUGUUAUCAACCGCAGUCAUAAUAUGGAUUACAUUUUUGACAUAACGUUUUGUGUAUUUUUGUGUGGUUUAAUAAUGAAGGAUGAGUCUCAAGAUUUCAUAAAGAGGCAGCAGCUGAGGGAGCUAGCGUUGCUAAACUCGAACAACCUGAGGGAAGAGAGUCCAGGACCAAGCGGCGGUGGAAGCGUUUCGCCUUUCAAUUCAAGUGGUAAACGCCCCAAAACAGGAUGCUAAGGAGCGUUUUGUGUUUCAGUCAAAGGAGCGUUUUGUUGUUUCAAGGGGCGUUUUAAAUGGUACAUGUCUGCAUACACAAACACUCAUGUGUGUAUACUUGGUUCUGGCCCAGUACUUGCUGCAGUGGUGGUGGUCAAGUUAAGGCCUCCCUGGUCUCUCUCCGGUGAGCGACCCUGUGGCUUUCCUUUUCUUUUCCUUUUAUUUAUUUUUUGUUUUAUUCGUCUUUAUAAGACGAAUAUCAGAGAUUCAUUACAGAUUAUUUAUAUAAAAAAAAAGAUUUAGAAAAAGAGAGAAGAAAAAAAUGUUGAAAUAUAUAAUGUGUAUGUAGGGGAAAAAAUGUGGCUGGGGAAAGGGAGUGUAUUGAAAUUCUUAUUGUAAAAACAAAAAAAAAAAGAAAAAAAAAACACAUUUAUUGGAUUGAUUCUUAUGGUUUGAUUUUGAAAAGUUUUAUCUAAAACUUUGCUUCUUUUUUAUUUAUAUCAGACAUUAUUUCCAUAUUUAUCUGUCCACUAAAUUCUUUUUUUUGGCUAAGUCUAUAUCAUAUAACCUUUGAAAUGUGAUUAGUAUAAUAUGACAAGUUGUGACAUACCCUUGUGUAUAUACUGUCAUGUUAUACAUGUAAUUGAUGGGUUGAAAUUUGAAAACGAUAAUAUCAAAAUAUUUAUGGAACGAAGUACAUUGGGUUAGGAAUCUUGAAGGUGCGAUUCCCUGAAUAUUCUCCUUGUAUGUCACUCCAUUGGUCGCCUACAUUGCCCCAUAUCCUGUAACCUUCUUCCAUCAACUGCUUUCUGAUUGUUGUUUUGUAUGUUGCUGCGCUUUGUUUUUUGUUCUCUGCUGUCCUGCAAGUAGAGAAUCAUUUUGUCCACAUCGUGAGAGGCUUUAUCUUCGAAAAGAAAAGAUACUACUAAAUAAGUAAACCUUCUUUUUUACCUCAUAAUCAAUCUUUCAUAACCAGUGAAGCCUUGAUCAUGCAAAUUUUCAACUGUUGCUUGGCGAAGGGUCUCUUCAUCUCUCCCGGUUACUAGGAAAACUUUGAAUCCUAUUUCUAUCAGAUCAUUGAAGAGUUCGAGAACAGGUUGUAUAGCUGGAGAUUCUCCUUUCAUUGCCCAUGUUCUAAAUCCUGUUGGAUCAUAAGGGUCGCAUCUACAUGUUAACAAAGAGAGCAUAACAUAACAUUAGUCACAUUUUUCUAAACUUUUUGUAUUCAAUCAAGAAAAAAACAAGUGUAUACCCGUAUCUCUUGAGCCGAUAGUAGUAGACGUUUGAGAAGCAAGUAUCAUCAACAUCCAAGAUCCAUGCAUCCAUGCCAUCACCAGGAAGGACUAUCUCAUUGAGAUAAACCCUAACUUGUUCCACAAUCAACUCAACGUCUCUGUCAUAUUGACCAGCGAGCAUAUAUGCCUCAACGUAACGCAUACAUUGUAGAGGUACGGUGCGCCACGCACGUACGUUGUUGGUUUCUAUUGCUAGUCUCCAGCUUAAGCAAUAGCUAGCUGGAUUGUUUCCAUCCAUCGGUAUCCAUGGACUUGCGCUUGUUGCCACUACGGAGAUUGUUAGAAAGAUGAGAAGCAACAUCACUCUCUUAUGUAUCUUUAUUGCUCUUGAUUAUUCUGCUUUCACUUGUGAAGAAUGAGGAUAAACAAAAUUAGAGGUCUUUUGUUUGACACAAGAGGAGAAUGGUUGAGAAAGAAGUUUGGUUAUAUUGAGAUCAGUGGUGAAACAAGAAGACUAAUAAAAGGAGAAAGGAAGCUUGAAGUGGAUCAGCUUUACUAGUAUUGUAGUUGUGCGAAGAGAUGUUAGUUAAAGAGUGGUAUUUAAAGAGCUUGGUUUGGUAUAAGAUACUGGUUUCAUCCACUAAGUCUCCACUUUUUUUUUCUUAAGACCAACUUAUGAGGUAUGCACAAGGAAAAUAUUAUUAACAAAUGGAAAAUGGGGUCAAAACUAGCAAGCGCACAAAUCACUAAGGCACAUCCUAUAUAUGAGCCACUAUUUAUAUUCCAACACUUUCACAUAUAUAUACCAUGCAUAUCAUCCUCUUCUAUAUAUAUACUAAAUAAUACAUCAUUGGCAUUUUUACUAAGUGGCAUGACAUCUUUUAGUUAGUAUAUAGUGUAUCACUAGGUGGAGGAGCUCACUAGCCGUUACAUACAUAAGUAAGACAAACCUACUUAAAGCACUUUCCAUGCAUGGUCAAAGUUGUAGGUUUUGUUAACACACUGAGACUAUAUUAACUUGAAGGAUACAUUGUGAGAUUCAUAGGUGAAACACAACCUUAUGUACAAGAAGAUAACCUAGGGUGUAAGGUUUCAUUUGAGGUUUUCUUGAUAUAAGCCCUAUUGUACUUUUAUAUGGUCAAUUUAUGUAAGAAAACAAAAAAAAAUUGUAUUGUUUCUUAGAGCGAGGGCCUAUGGAGCGUCUUACAGGUAAUUAUCAAGAAAUUAAUAAAGAGUGGACACACAUUUGUCAAACCAACAAAAAAAAAAAUGAACCGACCAAAUAAGACUACAUAAUGGAUUUGGAUGCUGACAAGGAUUAGAUUGUUAUUAACUUUUGUCAACGUAAAAGUGGAUGACACGUUAGUAGUAGUGUAAUGGAAAAUGUAAAGGACAGCAAGUAAUGGAGUUAACACUACUACUAGAUUGAUAAGUUCGUUAAGAGUUGUUAGCCUAUGAGUUCAUCUCAUUAACUAACGCUCCUUCUCAUGUAUGGUUUAAGUUAUUAUACACUUGAUUGCCACUCGUAACACCUUUUUCAUCUAAUCCAUUUACAUUUCUUUAACUGGUUGGGAGAUGCUCUCCCAUUUGAAACGAUAAAACGUCAUCAAAACACCACUUAUCUGCCGGUCCCAAGGUCAAGAGUAUUGUUUUUUUUUCCUAACGAAGAGCAUAACAUUCACUUUGAUCUUGAAGAGCUUAAAAGUCCAUCUGAUAGAAGACGGCAAAGGAGAGGCAACAAUAGGUCAAGACGAAUGGUACAUGUUUCGCUAGAAGCCAUGCAUCCAAUGGUAUACCAUUCUCUUUACUUUACAUCUUCAGCCAUGUCUUAGAUAAGAAGAGUUCACAAUGACUAUAAUGGAAAUCAAUACAAGAAAUAAACUUCAAAACUUCGAUAAAAUGUGCAAGAAAGUAAGUUUGACAUGUUUGGAAUAAAAGAAGCAAAAGAAAAACCUAAAUUAUAGACUCCUCUACUUACUACCUCCAAGACACUGAACUGUGAUAUCCUUACACAAACAUCAUAGCCAGAACAUUCUAAGAAUGUGUCGGCAAAUGGACAUAGAAGCUCUUGAUAAAUCAACCAGAGAGCCUCUCUGUCUUAAACAAAGCCUCAUGCAAUAUAAAAAAAAGAACACACACAUUUAUCUCCUCACCUCAACAGAACUUCCAGUGGUUGUCACAGUUGACACACGUAACAUAAGUAGUCAUCGGCUCAUCAGCACUCCUCGUCUGCAUCUGAUAGUAAGUGCAUUUACGCUGCCCACACCUCCCACACUUGAACUGAUCAGUACUCGCUUUCGGCGCCUGGCCACGCUCACAAUCAAACAGAAACUUCUCCUUGAUCUGAUUAGUCUCCUGUUUCCUCUUGUCGCUUGCCAUCUCUUCACCAGACAAUGUAAUAAGUUUCUCCGGCGACACCUCCCCUGUGAGAACCCUCCUCCUCAGAUCCGGAUUGUUACUGUCCCUCAGGUUGAACAUUAUAGACCUGUACUUCACCUUCUGAGCUCCCGUUGACCGUCCCAGCUUCUCAAACAUGUGAGACUCCACCGAGACAGCGACGCGGAUUGGAUCACAUCCAACAACUCUCGCUCUAUCGUAGUCAUCUGAUUCGUCAUGGACCUUGGACAUUGCGUCCACAAGCAGCUCACGGAUCUUGUCACGCACAGGGUCGUUGCAUUUCACCAUCGAAGUCAGCUUUGGUGCACCAUUAAGUGGUGCCUUAGCUGGAGCUUUCGUACUAGAUUGAUUCUCCUUUGAGGCCCCAGCAUUGACUUUGUUGUCUCGUUCCUUCCUCUCUUCUACCUUGAUGCUCUUAGCUGAAUCACCUCUCUGAAGCUUCUGCACUUUCACAGGCGCUGGAUUUGCAUCCUUCCUGUCAAGCUUAGACUUGGAUGUCUCUUCAAUGACAAGUUUCUUCCAUGUCUCAAGAAGAUCAGUAGCUACGGUUUUUAUUUCUUCAAUAGGAUGUUUUGAAAGAGACCUUAGCUUCUUCCCUACCUGGAAGCAAUAACAUGCUAUUAGAGUGAUUUUUAAAUCUCUCUAACAUUGUUUGAGCAUAAUGAGAUUAGAAUUAAAGAUAAAUCAGUUUUAAUUUCCUGUGAUUUUGAACCUCUCUAAUAUUGUUUGAGCAUAAUCACAAUAAGCUUCAUAAAGUUUUAAUCUUUUCAAUUUUUUUGAAAAGUUUCAGAUGAGAUUAAUGAACCCUAACACAAGUCAAUGCUAUGAGAUUAAGGCAAGCAACAGAUGCAGAGAACCCUCUGAUUCAAACAGCGUAUUAGGCAAAAAAGAUCGAGACUUUGUAGAUUAAAGAGAUGAAAUUUGAAAAGAACCUGAGUCGCGACGAGCAUGUCGUAUGUGAUGGGAAACUUCUUGAGCUGUUUAAGGGCGUCGAGAGAUCGAGAAACCUCCGGACCUGAGGAGGUAACGCCGUCGAUCGCCGCCGCAUCGGCUGCCUUCUUCGCCGCCUCGAACAAUUCGAUCAAUUCGCUUUCCAUCGUCCUUCGAAUCGUUAACUUAUUCGCAAAAUCAAGAUAGAUUCAAGCCGAAUCAGAAGCAAUAAACCCACAAAAAAUUGCUGCGAUUGAAGAAUAAGAAGAAUGAGAUUUGUUCGGCGGAACUUGGUUCUUGUCGGGACGGAGAAGAUAGAGAUUACGUAGUUAAACAGUGUUUUUAUUUGGCGAUCUAACGGUUUCAGUUACAACUUUAGGGAAUCAACGGUUUAGAUCACGUGACUUGGUCUAUGGAUGUUACUAGAUUCACGCUUCCGCUCGAGGUUACUACAUCAAGUAUGGGCUAUAUAAGGCCCUUAUUGGGCCAGAGUCGUUUUAUAGUAACAAAAACAA
rnacentral:lncRNA from 1 species